GGAAGCAAAAUCUUCAGAGACAGAUGUACUUUUAGCUUUGGGGAUAUGUUUUGGGUAGAUCUUGAGGAAGAUGGGAGAGAGAGCUAUUAGUGAGAUUGUGUGGAGACACAACUACAAAGAAAACAGAUCCCUUACCUUUCCCAGGUCAGCGAAAGGAGAAAGGGCAUCUCAGAUGUGCCACAUGAAGAAACCACAAGAGAGCAUGAUGGGAAAAGCAAGUAAGGGAUGUGGGUAUCAGGAAGUUGAGCAUCCUAGAAGAAGGCUGGGUUGAUGAUGAACAUUGCUACUAGGACUGCUCAUAAGGAAACUUAGCUUUAGGGAGAGAGGUCAGAUGGAUUCUUCCAGGUCUCAAAGCAAGCAUGGGUAAAGGGCUAGGUGUGUGGUGACUCUAACUCCAGGUAAAGAUGGCAUUUUAACUUUAAAGUAGACAGUUCUUGGUUGUUUUGAAUGAAUCAGGAUGUUGUAUGACUCAGGUCAAGGGAGGGAAACCCAAAGGAGGUAAAAAGAAAUAUAAAUAAUGGUGGAAUGGGGAUGGUAUAGGAAAAUGAUGUCAGGGAAGGUAUAAAACCUCGUCCUCUCCAACAAAAAGAAGAAACUAGAGGCAAAACUCGCAGAAACAGUGGAUGCAAGACUAUUAAGCUCUAUAAGUCAGAUAUGAGGGAGAAGGGACAUGGUCAUCAUGGCUCGUUGGCUGAGCUGGCCUCUUCAGAUGACGUGUGGGUGUGUUUGUGGGGAGAUGCUGUAUCCUAUGGAGUAUAAAGGUCCUGGGACCACAACAUGGAGGGACACAGAGCCUUGUCUUUCAGAGCUUGCGGAUCAUCAGGGAAGACAUGACACCAACUGUAUGAUCCCUGUGAUGGCAGAAGCUCAGGUUUCUGGCUUUAAAAAAAAAAAAAGGUUUCCUGGAGAAGGUGGAGAAGAGACUGCAGAAUGAGAGCCAGGACAGCAUGCAGUGUGGACAAUCACGAUAUACAACUAUAAGCUCUGGUUUGAGUAUUUGGAGGAAAGUGGACAUCUCAAAAGGAAGGAAGAUUGACUAGGCUGGCAUCUAAUGAAAGGUGGGACCCAAGAAAAGGAAGAGACAAAUGUAACCAACACACUUUACAGGAAAUCCUAUUCUAGUGAUUGUAGUGAUUUCAACAUGGGCAAUGCCCGUCAAAGUUCUUAUAUGCAAAAACUUGGCCUUUCAGGAGCUAGGGCCUAGCAGAUGGAGACUUAGGUCUUGGAUCUCUUCACAAACAACCUCUAUUAGAUAUAGUUUUAAAUUUUUUUCUUAAAUAUUUUUCAUAUUUAAAUGCAUUUUAUACAUCAAACAUAUUAAUAAUAUGGAGUAUUUUGAGAAUCAAAU
rnacentral:lncRNA from 1 species